rnacentral:rRNA from 1 species
AUUGACCUCGGAUCAGGUAGGAUACCCGCAU